rnacentral:rRNA from 1 species
AACGCUAGCUACAGGCUUAACACAUGCAAGUCGAGGGGCAGCAUAAAACUAGCUUGCUAGUUUUGAUGGCGACCGGCGCACGGGUGAGUAACGCGUAUCCGACCUACCCAUAACACGGGCACAGCCGCUCGAAAGAGUGAUUGAUUCCCGAUAUGUCUUGUGAGUAGAUUGCAAGAUGAAAGAUUUAUCGGUUAUGGAUGGGGAUGCGUAAGAUUAGGUAGUAGGCGGGGUAACGGCCCACCUAGCCGACGAUCUUUAGGGGUUCUGAGAGGAAGGUCCCCCACACUGGUACUGAGACACGGACCAGACUCCUACGGGAGGCAGCAGUGAGGAAUAUUGGUCAAUGGGCGGAAGCCUGAACCAGCCAAGUAGCGUGAAGGAUUACAGCCCUACGGGUUUUAAACUUCUUUUAUAUAAGAGUAAUGUGCACUACGUGUAGUGUAUUGCAAGUAUUAUAUGAAUAAGCAUCGGCUAACUCCGUGCCAGCAGCCGCGGUAAUACGGAGGAUGCGAGCGUUAUCCGGAUUUAUUGGGUUUAAAGGGAGCGUAGGCGGGAUAUUAAGUCAGUCGUCAAAGCCUGUGGCUCAACCACAGCCCGCGAUUGAUACUGGUAACCUUGAGUGCGGAUGAGGUGGAUGGAAUUCGUGGUGUAGCGGUGAAAUGCUUAGAUAUCACGAAGAACUCCGAUUGCGAAGGCAGUUCACUGGGCCGCAACUGACGCUGAAGCUCGAAAGUGCGGGUAUCAAACAGGAUUAGAUACCCUGGUAGUCCGCACCGUAAACGAUGGAUACUCGCUGCCGGCGAUACACGGUCGGUGGCCACGCGAAAGCCUUAAGUAUUCCACCUGGGGAGUACGCCGGCAACGGUGAAACUCAAAGGAAUUGACGGGGGCCCGCACAAGCGGAGGAACAUGUGGUUUAAUUCGAUGAUACGCGAGGAACCUUACCCGGGCUUAAAUUGCAUUGGACAGGCUCAGAGAUGGGCUCUUCUUCGGACCAGUGUGAAGGUGCUGCAUGGUUGUCGUCAGCUCGCGCCGUGAGGUGUCGGCUUAAGUGC